UACAGAGGUCUCAAGCGUUGUUCGGAUUCAUUGGGCGUAAAGGGUGCGUAGGCGGCGCGGUAAGUCGGGUGUGAAAUCUCGGAGCUUAACUUCGAAACUGCAUUCGAUACUGCCGUGCUUGAGGACUGGAGAGGAGACUGGAAUUUACGGUGUAGCGGUGAAAUGCGUAGAUAUCGUAAGGAAGACCAGUGGCGAAGGCGGGUCUCUGGACAGUUCCUGACGCUGAGGCACGAAGGUCAGGGGAGCGAACAGG
rnacentral:rRNA from 1 species